AUGGCCUUCAGGAACCAUGGUGUCCGAGUGCACUUGAUCCAUGAGCUGUACGAGACCUUCCGCAACUUCAAAAUUCGUGUUUUGGAUUAUGUGCACCGCAGAAAGAUAACUUCCAGCAUGAAUGGACGCUUUCCAGAAGCUACAGCACAUGAGCUUAAUGUAGACGACAACAACAAUGAAGCUGCUUUGUGGGCACUUGUUCCAUGUGCAUUGUCUGAGGUCAUGGCGAGAGCGCCAACAUACUUGCCUACAUGUAGAUCUCCCAUUGCCUCCGGACAAUGGACGUGCUCCAUCAGCGGGACAGCAUGA
rnacentral:rRNA from 1 species